CCUACGGGUGGCAGCAGUGAGGAAUAUUGGUCAAUGGGCGUAAGCCUGAACCAGCCAAGUCGCGUGAGGGAUGAAAGUUCUACGGAUUGUAAACCUCUUUUAUAAGGGAAUAAAGUGAGGGACGUGUCCCAUUUUGUAUGUACUUUAUGAAUAAGGAUCGGCUAACUCCGUGCCAGCAGCCGCGGUAAUACGGAGGAUCCGAGCGUUAUCCGGAUUUAUUGGGUUUAAAGGGCGCGUAGAUGGAUUGAUAAGUCAGGGGUGAAAGUUGGGGGCUCAACUCGGAAAUUGCAAGUGAUACUGUCAGUCUAGAGAAUAGGUGAGGGAGGCGGAAUUCGUGGUGUAGCGGUGAAAUGCUUAGAGAUCAUGAAGAACACCGAUUGCGAAGGCAGCUUACCAAACUAUAACUGACGUUGAGGCACGAAAGCGUGGGGAGCAAACAGGAUUAGAUACCCCUGUAGUC
rnacentral:rRNA from 1 species